UAACCUGCCCAAGAGAUCGGGAUAACACCUGGAAACAGAUGCUAAUACCGGAUAACAACAGAUGAUGCCUAUCAACUGUUUAAAAGAUGGUUCUGCUAUCACUCUUGGAUGGACCUGCGGUGCAUUAGCUAGUUGGUAGGGUAACGGCCUACCAAGGCGAUGAUGCAUAGCCGAGUUGAGAGACUGAUCGGCCACAUUGGGACUGAGACACGGCCCAAACUCCUAGGGAGGCAGCAGAC
rnacentral:rRNA from 1 species